rnacentral:rRNA from 1 species
UUUUAAAUGGCCGCAGUAUUUUGACUGUGCAAAGGUAGCAUAAUCAUUAGUUUUUUAAUUAAAAGCUUGUAUGAAAGGCUGGACGAGGUAAAAUCUGUCUCUAUUUAAAUUAUAGUAGAAUUUAACUUUUAAGUUAAAAGGCUUAAAUGUUAUUAAAAGACGAGAAGACCCUAUAGAUCUUUAUAAUUUAUUAAAUUAAAUUAAUUUAGAAAUAUUAAUGUUUUAUUUAAUUAAGUUAUUUUAUUGGGGUAAUAAAAAGAUUGAAUUAAUUCUUUUUUAUAAUAAACAUUAAUUUAUGAAUAUUAAUGAUCCAGUUUUACUGAUUAUAAGAUUAAGUUACCUUAGGGAUAACAGCGUAAUUUUUUUAGAGAGUUCAUAUCGAUAAAAAAGUUUGCGACCUCGAUGUUGGAUUAAAGAUUAUUUUAGGUGUAGAAGCUUAAUAAUUUUGGUCUGUUCGACCAUUAAAUCUUUACAUGAUCUGAGUUCAGACCGGUGUAAGCCAGGUCGGUUUCUAUCUUUAAUAAAAUAAAAUAUUUUAGUACGAAAGGACCAAAUAUUUAAUAUAUUUAUAUUUAAUUUAUUGAAUAUUA